AAAUGUACAAUCAACAAAGCAUUGCAAGAGCAUCCCUAUCAAAUUCCAGCUGUUAAUCAAAUUCUUACUACUUUGGCAAAAGGAAAAGUAUUUGCCAAGUUGGAUAUGGCUCAAGCCUACCAGCAGUUACCUGUGGAUGAUGAGGCUGCUGAUGCACAAACGAUAAUAACACACAAAGGAGCUUUCCGAGCAAGACUUUUGCAGUUUGGA